CCAUUGAUUCUACAUGCAGAAUGAGAGGCUAAAAAAGUGGUCCCACUUGGGGUCUAAGGAAGGUAAUGAUUCAUUCAUUCAUUCAUUCAUUCAUUCAAGACACAGAGAGGCAGAGACACAGGCAGAGGGAGAAGCAGGCUCCCUGCAGGGAGCCCAAUGCAGGCUCGAUCCCAGGACCCCGGGAUCACGCCCUGAACCAAAGGCAGACGCUCAAUCGCUGAGCCACCCAGGCGCCCCAGAAGGUAAUGUUUUAAACAUGCAUCAUCCACUUGGAAAGGCGUGAAGCCAAGCGACCCAGGCCUUUCCUCCCUCUCUUUUGAAGUGAAUCGUGCCACUCUCUGCUGCUCUGUGCCCCCCCCACCACCUCCAGUUUCCAGAGUGAAAUGUAUGGAGGAGAGAACCUUCUGGAAACAAGGCACCUUCUCCAGAGUGCUGGCUCUGGGGGUGGAGAGAGACAGUGAUACCAAGGAGGGAGAAGACCCAGAUCCUGUCCCGAGUUUUCCAGGACAGCUGAACGCACAGAACCAAACUGGAAGGGGCAGGACUGCAACGGGGAGGCAGCGCAGAGCCUGGGAAAGCCGCGCAGCCCCUCCUGAUGCAGCACCCACCAUUCCUGCUCGGUCUGCAACCUCUAAUUACGCUGCUGGUGGCAAGAAUGAGGUCAUGGUGUCUGCAAGUGACUUUCCCAGUAACGAGCCCCUCUCAAAGGGGCAGGCUCCCAGCUCAGUCCCCUCCUGGGCCCUCAAAACUUGGAUGGCUGGAGGCAGAGAUUGCUGAAGAGCCGCCUAUGGGGUCCCGGGCUCCCUGCUCCCUACCGUGCAGACAUGCCUGGAGACUUCCAACCCCAGAAGAGACCUCCCUGACCGCUGCCCCCUGGUUGGUGCCUUGCCCUGGCUUUUGGGGAUCCAACUCUCCAAAGAAGGUACAGGGGGCUCCACAUGGUUGUACAACCAUGUCUCUUCACACACACAGAGAGAGCAAAUGCUGUCCAGGGCCCCGGGAGCAUCC
rnacentral:lncRNA from 1 species